rnacentral:rRNA from 1 species
AUUGAACGCUGGCGGCAUGCCUUACACAUGCAAGUCGAACGGCAGCACGGGUGCUUGCACCUGGUGGCGAGUGGCGAACGGGUGAGUAAUACAUCGGAACGUACCUUAUCGUGGGGGAUAACGCAGCGAAAGUUGCGCUAAUACCGCAUACGCCCUGAGGGGGAAAGCGGGGGACCGUAAGGCCUCGCGCGAUUAGAGCGGCCGAUGUCUGAUUAGCUUGUUGGUGAGGUAAAAGCUCACCAAGGCGAUGAUCAGUAGCUGGUCUGAGAGGACGAUCAGCCACACUGGGACUGAGACACGGCCCAGACUCCUACGGGAGGCAGCAGUGGGGAAUUGUGGACAAUGGGGGCAACCCUGAUCCAGCAAUGCCGCGUGAGUGAAGAAGGCCUUCGGGUUGUAAAGCUCUUUUGUCAGGGAAGAAACAGCAGCUCUAACACAGUCUGCGAAUGACGGUACCUGAGGAAUAAGCACCGGCUAACUACGUGCCAGCCGCCGCAGUAA